rnacentral:rRNA from 1 species
UACGGAGGGGGCUAGCGUUGUUCGGAAUUACUGGGCGUAAAGCGCACGUAGGCGGCUUUGCAAGUUAGAGGUGAAAGCCCGGGGCUCAACUCCGGAAUUGCCUUUAAAACUGCAUCGCUAGAAUUGUGGAGAGGUAAGUGGAAUUCCGGGUGUAGAGGUGAAAUUCGUAGAUAUUCGGAAGAACACCAGUGGCGAAGGCGACUUACUGGACACAUAUUGACGCUGAGGUGCGAAAGCGUGGGGAGCAAACAGG